ensembl:lncRNA
GCGAGAGCUGUAAGACCUCAGCUUUUCUCUGCGUCUCUCACAACUGUAAAUAAUUAGAUCUUGGAUCCAGAGUUCAUCAUCCUUUUCAUUUUCUCCGCCAGCAAAACAUUUUGGCCGAGGAGUCACCCAGUUGUCUUCCCACACCUGCAGACAGAUCACUGGAGCAAAAUGAAAACAAUGUGGCUCCGUCUCAUGGAGGUAAUUCUGCUCUAGACCGCACCACCGGCAGCCCGUUACCUCCCCUGACUCAAGACGAAGGUGCAGGUAAAGGAUGCAGCUUGGGUGCAUAUAAAACCUUUCUGGGAUUACCAAAAGUUUGAAGAAACAGUUCACCAGACCUCUUCUAAAGAUGCCCACAUUAGUUUGAAAAGCUGAGCUUGCACUUACUUGAAAAUCUGUAAAGAAGUAUUAUCAGAAACACACAUACUUCUGGAAAUUUGUUUAACUUUCUUAUUUUUUUCUGCACACGUAAUGAGGUAUGGCGAAUUACAAAAUUUUAUUUUCAAAAGAGACUUGAUAUAUAGCCUACUCAAGUUCUCUUAGCAAAACAUCUUUAUUUUGUUUUUAGCAUAAGUAAUAAUGAUAAUGGCAAAUUUAAAUUUAAUAAGUUAAGCCUCACCU